GACGAACGCUGGCGGCGUGCCUAAUACAUGCAAGUCGAACGGUCAAGCGCCUUCCUUUUUGGUUGGAGUGUAAGAUGGGCGAACCGGUGAGUAACAUGAGAGUAACCUGACCCGUCCUUCUGGAUAACCGCAUGAAAGUGUGGCUAAUACGGGAUAUUCUGGGUCUGUCGCUUGAUGGGUCUGUGAAAGAUAUUGUUUCGGUGAUGGAUGGGCUCGCGGCCUAUCAGCUCGUUGGUGGGGUGAUGGCCUACCAAGGCGGUGAUGGGUGGCCGGCCGGAGAGGGUGGCCAGACACAGUGGGACAGAGAGACCGGACAGCCUCCUGCGGGAGGCAGCAGGGGGCAUUAGUGAACGACGGGAGUAAGACUGAGGCAGGGACGCGGCGUGAGGGAGGGAUGCCGUCGGGUUAUGAACCUCUUUCGAGAAGGAAGCAUGUGAGAGUCGAUUGUGCGCGGGUUGACGGUAGCUUAAUAGAAAGCGACGGCUAACUACGUG
rnacentral:rRNA from 1 species